ACUAAAUCAAUUUACAUGGAACUGUUCUAAUUUGGAAGGUGCUAGUUUUCCGGCUUAUUCCAAAGAGGAACAUAGACUUAAUAGACGCGAUCUAUAUGAUAUACCAACAAGGUUUUACUCAUGUGGAACAGUAAUAACAGGCCUCUGUCACUCGACGUACUUGCGCGCGAUAAAUGCCUACCGCUCGCUGGGUUACCGGUAGCCCCACGCGGCUCAGGGCGCACAACAGUCACACGCGCCGCGUGCGCUCCAAUAUUAUUAUUUUUAUUUCGCGGCAUGUUAUGCUGUUGGUUUUUAUUAGGUUUUUUUAAGCUACCUCACAAACUGAUGGAUUAUUUUGAGUUAUGUUGGUUUAUAUGCGACUAUUGUAAGAUUUAGAAACAUUUUAUAUGUAUGAGCUUAUCUAGUAAUUCUAUUUUUUUUAAAUAAAUUAAUACUUAUCUACUUUAUGAUUUUAACAACAGAGAUCAUUAGGUACUUAUUUUACUUUAGAUACCUACUUAGUUAUAUGAACUAAACUAGCUUUUGCCCGCAACUUCGUUCGCGUGGAAUAGUGACUACCAGCAGAUUUUUGAUUUGACCAAUAGAUGGCGCUAUAUGUCCGGAAUAAUUUUAUUUUUAUU